GACGUAGGGCGCGAGCGUUGUCCGGAUUUAUUGGGCGUAAAGAGCUCGUAGGCGGCUUGUCGCGUCGAAUGUGAAAUCUCAGGGCUCAACUCUGACAUUGCAUUCGAUACGGGCAGGCUCGAGUUCGGUAGGGGAGACUGGAAUUCCUGGUGUAGCGGUGAAAUGCGCAGAUAUCAGGAGGAACACCGGUGGCGAAGGCGACUACCUGGCCUGUUCUUGACGCUGAGGCGCGAAAGCUAGGGGAGCAAACGGG
rnacentral:rRNA from 1 species